AUACAUAGGGGGCAAGCGUUAUCCGGAAUUAUUGGGCGUAAAGGGUGCGUAGGCGGCCUAUUAAGUUUAAGGUGUAAGUGCAAGGCUCAACCUUGUGAUGCUUUAGAAACUGGUAGGCUAGAGAUAGAUAGAGGCAAGUGGAAUUCCAUGUGUAGCGGUAAAAUGCGUAAAUAUAUGGAGGAACACCAGUGGCGAAGGCGGCUUGCUGGGUCUAUACUGACGCUGAGGCACGAAAGCGUGGGGAGCAAACAGGAUUAGAUACCCUGGUAGUCCACGCCGUAAACGAUGAGUACUAAGUGUUGGGGGAACCCAGUGCUGUAGUUAACAUAUUAAGUACUCCGCCUGAGUAGUACGUACGCAAGUAUGAAACUCAAAGGAAUUGACGGGG
rnacentral:rRNA from 1 species